CACCAGACUCCUACGGGAGGCAGCAGUGGGGAAUAUUGCACAAUGGGGGAAACCCUGAUGCAGCGACGCCGCGUGAGCGAUGAAGUAUUUCGGUAUGUAAAGCUCUAUCAGGAGGGAAGAAAAUGACGGUACCUGACUAAGAAGCCCCGGCUAACUACGUGCCAGCAGCCGCGGUAAUACGUAGGGGGCAAGCGUUAUCCGGAUUUACUGGGUGUAAAGGGAGCGUAGACGGCUGUGCAAGCCAGAUGUGAAAGCCCGGGGCUCAACCCCGGGACUGCAUUUGGAACUGUGUGGCUGGAGUGUCGGAGAGGCAGGCGGAAUUCCUAGUGUAGCGGUGAAAUGCGUAGAUAUUAGGAGGAACACCAGUGGCGAAGGCGGCCUGCUGGACGAUGACUGACGUUGAGGCUCGAAAGCGUGGGGAGCAAACAGGAUUAGAUACCCCUGUAGGC
rnacentral:rRNA from 1 species